rnacentral:lncRNA from 1 species
CUGCAGCAGCAGCAGCAGUUGCUUGUGAGAGAGCAGACCUGCCACCUUGAUGUUAUUAGUCGCCCACUUCAACUAUGAGCUACUUCCUCAGGGCUUGGGGACGGGCCACACUAGUGAUAAUCUCCACUGGGAAUGCAAUGGCUAUGUAAUUGUAUAGAGUUGAUGAAAGGUCACAAAAUGUUGUAGUUCAAGAGAUGGGUACAAAUAGUAAAAAAUGGAAAUUUUGGAUUGGUGCUUGCAGCAGCUGCAGCAAAGCCGGAGGGAUCGCCGUCAAAGGCCGGGACGACGCCGAAGAAGGUGUUCCGGCCACCCUGGUCGCGUACGCCCACUAGCGCUGACAAGGCGACCAGUCAGCCGGCGGCUGCACCGGAGGCGCCAAAACAAGAAGCGCCAAAGCCAGAGCCUGCUGCCCAACCUUC